UGCUUGAUAAACUCUGAUCACAAUUCACUAGACAACAAGUUUUGGGUUAACACUAUUAUAAAUAAUAUUCAUCAUGAAGAUACUAAACAUAAUUCCGACUAACAAGAGUAACCAAAAAGCCCAUAACAAACCUUAACCACCAAACCAAAAAAAAGGCUUUUGUUGUCAGCUUGAAAGAUUCCUUGAGCGCCUUUUUUAAGCUUUUCAAUAUUACUAUUAUUAUUUUGUUAUUAUUAUUUAUACACUUCUCCUUCAACAGUAUUUAUCCUUGAACUCGCUACUUUUAAGGGCUCACCCUUCAUCAUCAUCAACUUUAUACCUGUUAAUGUACAACCCUGAAGCAACCUACGCCCGGGCCUCAGGCUGUUUCUUGAAUUAUCAUUUUCGGAAAUUCUUGAAAUAUUUUCUUAUCCUUUUCAAUUUCACCAUCAUUCGUUAAGAUUCAACCAGAUUUUGAGGAAAAAGGAAGGUGCAUGAAAAGUGUAAAAGAAGCUAAAGAUUAUCAGUUUUUGCGGUUAACUCUUGAUCAAUUCGUUUGCUAUUGCUUGGCUGCUUAUAGGAAGGCUGCCAUUAACACUGACCAUGUUUAUGCAAAAUGGAAACCCAGCUGAUUCUGUAUUUCACUUUCGGUUAACCUUUCCAUUAUGUUUUGGUUGAUUGCUUUCCACUCUAUCCAUCUCCAUGCAAUGACCUUGCAGUAGGAAAACAAAUGAUAUUUUCAGGAAUUUCAAGAAUCUUGUUCUGAAGAGAAAUAAUAACAAUUUUCUAAACAUCAUCAUCGCCAUUAUUUUCAUGCUUUCUUGUUCUGCUGUUUCAAAUGGUAAUUGGCCUGUUAUACAUUCUUGCUACCAGAUGAGGAUCAUUGUUAUUUCAUUAUUAACAAACCAUUUGACUCGGGCUUUUAUUGAUUACCUGUAAUCAAUGAGGAUCAGCUUAUUCAAUAAUUUUCAACUGGUUUAGUCUGUGUUUCAAACCAAAAUUUGAUUUAUUUGAUAAAACCUCUCGUUUUUGCUUA